UACGAAGGGGGCUAGCGUUAUUCGGAUUCACUGGGCGUAAAGGGUGCGCAGGCGGCCAAGUGUGUGAGGCGUGAAAGCCCGGGGCUUAACCCCGGAAUUGCACCUCAAACUACAUGGCUAGAGCAUUGGAGAGGGUAGCGGAAUUCACGGUGUAGCAGUGAAAUGCGUAGAUAUCGUGAGGAACACCAGAGGCGAAGGCGGCUACCUGGACAAUUGCUGACGCUCAGGCACGAAAGCGUGGGGAGCAAAAGGG
rnacentral:rRNA from 1 species